UACGUAGGGUGCAAGCGUUUGUCCGGAAUUAUUGGGCGUAAAGAGCUCGUAGGCGGUCUGUUGCGUCGGCUGUGAAAACCCGGGGCUCAACCCCGGGCCUGCAGCCGAUACGGGCAGACUAGAGUUCGGCAGGGGAGACUGGAAUUCCUGGUGUAGCGGUGAAAUGCGCAGAUAUCAGGAGGAACACCUGCGGUGUAGACGGCUUACUGGACGGUAACUGACGCUGAGGCACGAAAGCGUGGGUAGCAAACAGG
rnacentral:rRNA from 1 species